ensembl:lncRNA
AUGUCAGCAGAAUGCUUUAUGGAAAUGCUGUGGCUUUCUGGUAGGAAACCAUGUGACCCCCUCGGCCAAGGUUUUGUUAUGGUGCAAGGAGGAAGAGAAAGAGAGAAUGCGAUGCCAGCAAAGGGUUAUGCUUUCUUUUUUUUGUCUUUCUUUCAUUCUUGUGUUUGCUUAGAAAAUGGCGGAUGGUGCGGUGCUGAAAUUAACCCGACUUGCCAAUGGAGAUGGGCACAAAAACAUAGCUUGACUUUUAUUUUAUCAGAAGCGGAUGCUUUUUGCAUGGCACCCACGUUUCAUCUAUUUUUGAUUCAAGCUCAAUCCUGCUUCCUGUCUGUCUGUCUCCGGCCGCGUACAAAAGAGAGGUCAGAACAAUCCAAACCAAAUAGAGAUGAUGAAUGCCAAAUGGUUAGUAGAGAUCUGGGGAUAGGAAGAGAGUGAGAUUACUCCAUACCCUGUAAGGCACACAAUCAACAAGGCAUUGUGGAGCUGCAGCCCAGCGGAUCUCUUAUCUCAGGUAGAUGGGGGGGAACAGCAGGUGUGUAUGAUUGCAUGGUGAGUAGGGGGGGUGGAGGGGACGGACCACUGAGGCACGGGGUGUGGCGGGGGAGGGGGGGGGGGCACUAUGUCUGAGUUUCCAGACACUGCGGCAGGAAGCCAGCCAGUCACCUGAACACACAAAUGACGCUUCCCCGCACACACCCCGGUAUUCGUCCCCAUGAAAGCAAAUGUAAUAUUCUGUUAUAAUCCAUUUGGGGGGGGGGAUGUAGUGCUAAAGACAAUAUACCAUUUAGCACUUUAGACAAUAUAACCAUAAUCAACGGCACAAAAACACAAAGGGCCAAGUUAUGCUCAGGCCAGCGGUGGCCAGGAAUAAAGUUAAUUACAGUAAGUUGAACAUUGGUGUGUGAACACACUAUCGAAUGGACAGUAUCUACCUCUGGCUGCACUGAGACAUCGUUUUAACCAAAGGCAUAGGGAUGGAGUAUAGAGACACUGAUGUCUAGACAGUGGUAUUGGAUAUAUGGUUAUUGUUCACUAACAGACCUUAGCAUGUCCACUGGCACUUUAAGUUUGCCUGAGUGUGUGUCUGUGUGUGCAUGUGUGAGUGCAUGUCUAUGUGCAUGUGUUAUGUGUGCAUUCUAUCUAUGUAAGUACGGCCCAUGAUGGUGUUCUAGCUGGGUACCCCCCCAUUCCCUCCCUCCUCCCCACAUCCACGGUUGCCUCCCUGCCUCUCACUUCGUCAGAGGUGUUGCCACGGAAACGCGGUAUCUUGCUGCAGGCUUGCUGGAGUUAUUGAACCGCAACUGGCUGGGAUAAUUAGACUCUGGGACUUGAAUGUGACCUACAGCUGGCUUGGCUGUGUCGCCACAGAGAAAUGCUUUUAACCCGUUGGUUAGUUGGCCACCAGACACUUGGGCCAAUGAAUGUACCUUUUACACGGCAAGGACGUGGUCAAUAAAGAGACUGUAGACUUUGGGACUCUGGGACUACAGUAUCUCUGUAGUCCCAGAGAUACUGCACACAGACCUGCACAAACACACAUUCAUACACACACACACACUCAAAUCCUGCAUUCUGGCUUCCUUUGUGUCACUACAAAGAAAUCAUGACAGAGGAAGUUCCUUGUGUUUUCUCGAGUGCACUGCACUGCCCAACCCAUGCAUAGUUGGUCACAUGGACACACAAUCUGUUUACUCAUAUUUCACAGCAGGGGCGGCAGGUAGCCUAGUGGUUAGUGGUUAGAGUGUUCAACUAGUAACCGAAAUGUUGCAAGAUCGAAUCCUUUAGCUGACAAGGUAAAAAUGUGUCAUUCUGCCUCUGAACAAGGCAGUUAACCCAUUGUUCCUAGGCCGUCAUUGAAAAUAAGAAUUUGUUUUAACUGACUUUCCUAGUUAAAUAAAUAAAGGUAAAAUACAUAAACUUAAAAUAAACUCAUAUUUCACACACUGAAUGGUUAUGAUGUGAAUUACUCUGCCUGAAUGUUUGUGUGACUCAGAUAUGUGAAUCCAAAUGACUUUU